rnacentral:rRNA from 1 species
UUUUUUUUUUAGAUAAAGUUGAACAAGUUUCGGUUGUGACCCAGCGGAAGGGAUCAUUACAGGAAUCGCAAGACUCCCUACAACCCUUCGUGAACCCUACUGAAACGGUUGCCUCGGCGGGUGCCCGGGCGUCCUGCGCUGGGCGCUUUGCCCGCCGGCGGCUCCCUACUCUGUCUCUGCAGCGUUGGCAUCUCAGUGAAAAAACGAAUGCAUAAAAACUUUUCAACAACGGAUCUCUUGGUUCUGGCAUCGAUGAAGAACGCAGCGAAAUGCGAUAAGUAAUGUGAAUUGCAGAAUUCAGUGAAUCAUCGAAUCUUUGAACGCACAUUGCGCCCGCCAGUAUUCUGGCGGGCAUGCCUGUUCGAGCGUCAUUUCCACCCUCAGGCCCUGCCUGGUGUUGGGAGCCUGCAGUAUGCAGCUCCCCAAAGACAGCGGCGGUCCCGAUCCCGGCUCCGAGCGUAGUACUAUACGUCGCUUAGGGUGCCUGGCGGGUUUCCAGCCGAAAGCCUCAUUAUAUCAAUGGUUGACCUCGGAUCAGGUAGGAAUACCCGCUGAACUUAAGCAUAUCAAUAAGCGGAGGAAAAGAAACCAACAGGGAUUGCCCUAGUAACGGCGAGUGAAGCGGCAACAGCUCAAAUUUGAAAUCUCCUUCGGGCGAGUUGUAAUUUGCAGAGGAUGCUUCGGGCGCGGCGCCUUCCAAGUCCCCUGGAACGGGGCGCCUUAGAGGGUGAGAGCCCCGUACGGUUGGACGCCUAGCCUGUGUGAAGCUCCUUCGACGAGUCGAGUAGUUUGGGAAUGCUGCUCAAAAUGGGAGGUAGACCCCUUCUAAAGCUAAAUACCGGCCAGAGACCGAUAGCGCACAAGUAGAGUGAUCGAAAGAUGAAAAGCACUUUGAAAAGAGGGUUAAACAGCACGUGAAAAUUGUUGAAAAGGGAAGCGCUCGUGAACCAGACUUUGCGCCGGGGGCGAUCAUCUGGGCGUUCUCGCCGGUGCACUCGCCCCGGUUCAGGCCAGCGUCGGUUCGGGCGGGGGGACAAAGGUGGCGGGAACGUAAGCUCCUUCCGGGAGUGUUAUAGCCCGUUCGCGUCAUGCCCCCUCCCGGACCGAAGGUUCGCGCUCUGCAGGACGCGCAAUCGGUAAUGGUCCCAGCGGCCCUUUGUAAAACAGGGAAAAA